rnacentral:tRNA from 1 species
AUCAAGUUAGUGUAAGUUCAACACGUUAAACUGUGACUUUAAAAAUAAAAAUUAAUUUUACUUGAUA